GCGCCAUUAGCUUGUUGGUGGGGUAACGGCCUACCAAGGCGAUGAUGGCUAGCUGGUCUGAGAGGAUGGCCAGCCACACUGGGACUGAAACACGGCCCAGACUCCUACGGGAGGCAGCAGUGGGGGAUAUUGCGCAAUGGGCGAAAGCCUGACGCAUCGACGCCGCGUGGGUGAUGAAGGCCCUCGGGUCGUAAAGCCCUGUCGAGGGGGACGAACAAGCUCCGGUCGAACACGCCGGAGCCCUGACGGUACCCCUAAAGGAAGCACCGGCUAACUCCGUGCCAGCAGCCGCGGUAAUACGGAGGGUGCAAGCGUUGUUCGGAAUCACUGGGCGUAAAGCGCGUGUAGGCGGUCCGCCAAGUCUGAUGUGAAAGCCCGGGGCUCACCCCCGGAAGUGCAUUG
rnacentral:rRNA from 1 species